CCUACGGGAGGCAGCAGUAGGGAAUCUUUCACAAUGGGCGAAAGCCUGAUGCAGCGACGCCGCGUGCGGGAUGAAGUCCUUCGGUAUGUAAACUGCUUUUAUAAGCGAGAAAGAUGAUUGUAACUGAUGAAUAAGCAUCGGCUAACUACGUGCCAGCAGCCGCGGUCAUACGGAAGGUCCGAGCAUUAUCCGGAGUGACUGGGUGUAAAGAGUUGCGUAGGUGGCAUAAUAAGUAGCUAGUGAAUUCGGGUGGCUAAACCAUUCAGACUAUUAGGUAAACUGUUAAGCUCGAGACAGUUAGGGGUAACUGGAAUUUCUAGUGUAGGAGUGAAAUCCGUAGAUAUUAGAAGGAACACCAAUAGCGUAGGCAGGUUGCUGGGACGGUUCUGACACUAAGGCACGAAAGCGUAGGGAGCAAACGGGAUUAGAUACCCCUGUAGUC
rnacentral:rRNA from 1 species